GAUGAACGCUAGCGAUAGGCUUAACACAUGCAAGUCGAGGGGCAGCAUGGUCUUAGCUUGCUAAGACUGAUGGCGACCGGCGCACGGGUGCGUAACGCGUAUGCAACUUGCCUCACAGAGGGGGAUAACCCGUCGAAAGACGGACUAAUACCGCGUACACUCCAUCUUGGGCAUCCAAGGUAGAGGAAAUGAAAUUCACUGUGAGAUAGGCAUGCGUCCCAUUAGCUAGUUGGUGAGGUAACGGCUCACCAAGGCGACGAUGGGUAGGGGAACUGAGAGGUUGAACCCCCACACUGGUACUGAGACACGGACCAGACUCCUACGGGAGGCAGCAGUGAGGAAUAUUGAUCAAUGGGCGAGAGCCUGAACCAGCCAAGUCGCGUGAAGGAUGACUGUCUUAUGGAUUGUAAACUUCUUUUAUACGGGAAUAACAAGAGUCACGUGUGACUCCCUGCAUGUACCGUAUGAAUAAGCAUCGGCUAACUCCGUG
rnacentral:rRNA from 1 species